AAGCGCCUAUGACCAGACUUGCGCCUAGCAGAUCAUCCAGCCUUCUGGCUGGUGCACUCUGUUGGGCUCAGGCCAGCAUCGGUUCUUGCUGGGUGAUAAAGGCGGUGGGAACGUAGCUCUCUUCGGGGAGUGUUAUAGCCCAUCGUGCCAUGACCCGGCGGGGACCGAGGACCGCGCAUCUGCAAGGAUGCUGGCGUAAUGGUCAUCAGCGA
rnacentral:rRNA from 1 species